ACGAUGAAUCUUCUAGCUUGCUAGAAGUGGAUUAGUGGCGCACGGGUGAGUAAUGCAUAGGUUAUGUGCCCUUUAGUCUGGGAUAGCCACUGGAAACGGUGAUUAAUACUGGAUACUCCCUACGGGGGAAAGUUUUUCGCUAAAGGAUCAGCCUAUGUCCUAUCAGCUUGUUGGUGAGGUAAUGGCUCACCAAGGCUAUGACGGGUAUCCGGCCUGAGAGGGUGAUCGGACACACUGGAACUGAGACACGGUCCAGACUCCUACGGGAGGCAGCAGUAGGGAAUAUUGCUCAAUGGGGGAAACCCUGAAGCAGCAACGCCGCGUGGAGGAUGAAGGUUUUAGGAUUGUAAACUCCUUUUGUUAGAGAAGAUUAUGACGGUAUCUAACGAAUAAGCACCGGCUAACUCCGUGCCAGCAGCCGCGGUAAUACGGAGGGUGCAAGCGUUACUCGGAAUCACUGGGCGUAAAGAGUGCGUAGGCGGGGUAAUAAGUCAGAUGUGAAAUCCUGUAGCUUAACUACAGAACUGCAUUUGAAACUGUUACUCUGGAGUGUGGGAGAGGUAGGUGGAAUUCUUGGUGUAGGGGUAAAAUCCGUAGAGAUCAAGAGGAAUACUCAUUGCGAAGGCGACCUGCUGGAACAUUACUGACGCUGAUGCACGAAAGCGUGGGGAGCAAACAGGAUUAGAUACCCUGGUAGUCCACGCCCUAAACGAUGGAUGCUAGUUGUUGCCUUGCUUGUCAGGGCAGUAAUGCAGCUAACGCAUUAAGCAUCCCGCCUGGGGAGUACGGUCGCAAGAUUAAAACUCAAAGGAAUAGACGGGGACCCGCACAAGCGGUGGAGCAUGUGGUUUAAUU
rnacentral:rRNA from 1 species